AUUGAACGCUGGCGGCAGGCUUAACACAUGCAAGUCGAGCGAGCGGCGGACGGGUGAGUAAUGUCUGGGAAACUGCCUGAGGGAGGGGGAUAACUACUGGAAACUGUAUCUUAUACCGCAUACCCUCAGAUGUGCCCAUAUGGGAUGAGCUAGGAGGUGGGGUAAUGGCUCACCUAGGCGACGAUCCCUAGCUGGUCUGAGAGGAUGACCAGCCACACUGGGACUGAGACACGGCCCAGACUCCUACGGGAGGCAGCAGUGGGGAAUAUUGCACAAUGGGCGCAAGCCUGAUGCAGCCAUGCCGCGUGUGUGAAGAAGGCCUUCGGGUUGUAAAGCACUUUCAGCGAGGAGGCGUUACUCGCAGAAGAAGCACCGGCUAACUCCGUGCCAGCAGCCGCGGUAAUUC
rnacentral:rRNA from 1 species